CUGCGGAAGGAUCAUUGUCGUGACCCUGACCAAAACAGACUGCGCACGCGUCAUCCAAUCCGUCGGCGACGGCACCGUCCGUCGCUCGGCCAAUGCCUCGACCACCUCCCCUCCUCGGAGCGGGUGGGGGCUCCGGGUAAAACAACCCACGGCGCCGAAGGCGUCAAGGAACACUGUGCCUAACCCGGGGGCAUGUCUAGCUUGCUAGCCGUCCCUCGUGUUGCAAAUCUAUUUAAUCCACAUGACUCUCGGCAACGGAUAUCUCGGCUCUCGCAUCGAUGAAGAACGUAGCGAAAUGCGAUACCUGGUGUGAAUUGCAGAAUCCCGCGAACCAUCGAGUCUUUGAACGCAAGUUGCGCCCGAGGCCACUCGGCCGAGGGCACGCCUGCCUGGGCGUCACGCCAAAACACGCUCCCAACCACUCUCAACGGGAAUCGGGAUGCGGCAUCUGGUCCCUCGUCUCUCAAGGGACGGUGGACCGAAGAUUGGGCUGCCGGCGUACCGCGCCGGACACAGCGCAUGGUGGGCGUCCUCGCUUUAUCAAUGCAGUGCAUCCGGCGCGCAGCUGGCAUUAUGGCCUUUGAACGACCCAACAAACGAAGCGCACGUCGCUUCGACCGCGACCCCAGGUCAGGCGGGACUACCCGCUGAGUUUAAGCA
rnacentral:rRNA from 1 species